UCUUGUUGUCUUCUUUGUGGUUUGCUCCAGGAGCCACAUCCAGUUGUUGAUCAUGUGACGUGAUGGAAAAGAAGUGUUUCCAUUCCAGUAUUGCAAAAUAAAUAAAUUUUAAUAUGGCCAGAAAACCACUUCACUCUUGCACCAAAACUUUUUAGUGAAAAACAAGAAUUUUUUCGAAAUUGCUAUGUUGCCAUUAAGCAAAUUUAUUUUCAUAAUGUCGAAUUUCGCAGCAAAUGUCACUUGUGCCUCAUUUUCACUGAGCGGUUGGUGAGAUUUGACUAGGGUCAUCAAGGCACUUGACCUUGGCCUUAGUAUUGACUGAUGUUUGAUGUGCAGCUAGCAAGCCUUCAUAGGGAAUUCCUGUGUUUGUUGUGCGGCCCUGUGUCUGAAGAAAGGGAACCCUGGGGCAGCGGUGUGAGAUAACACUGUUGAUGAUACAACCCUGGGUUUCAGUCCAGUUACAGAUAUUGGUUUUUCUGUGAAACCCACCGUGCAUUUUGCUCCAUGUCAGCUUUCCUCACCACAAAGCAGAGAACAAUGCUCUCUGCUGAAUGCUCUUUACUCUGUCAGGCUUUGUGAGGAGACAAUGUCAAAUGUUAUUUUUGUGCCAAAUUAUAAUCAUGACAAGAUAAUCAACUGUUUUUAUCUGAAGUCUUUUUGUUGCCGAAAAGUCUGGCAUUAACGUCGGGUUAAGCUCUCUGAGAGACCCACUUUAUACCUUCAUCUGUGUUCAUCAAACUCUCAGGGAGGCAGCAGACAGCGUGCUGGAAGGAAUUUGCAUUGUUAAUUGACCAUCUUUGGAUAACACAACAUCCCAUACUUAAAUCUGAUUUGUAAAUUUGCUGUAAAUAGAGACUGUUUUUCAGCCUCACACUGUGGAGGGUCUUAUUUUUGUUUAGUUUAAUAAACAAUAUGUUUGGAUUUUUUUAAGCACUUUUAAGUCUGAACAUCCACAUAGAGAAAUUCACUAUACUGAUCACAGUUUUGUUUUUUAUGAGAAAGUGUAAUGAAAUGAGCUUCAUUACUGGGACUAUUUUUUACUUAAGUCACUGUAUAGCACUUUAAAAGCACUUUAUGAACAAGCACUUUAAGCAUAGAUUUACACAUAAAUAAUUUGCACACAUGAAGUUUUAACUGUAUGAGUAUUUUUAGUGAUUAGCAUGUAGCCUUUUGUUCUGGGGUCUACACAGCUGCUCCUCAUUGAGAAGUGAGGUGGUUGCCCAUGAAGAGAGGAUAAUUGUUACUCAGAGCAAGGAGCUACUGAGCAAAUGUUUGUGCAUAAUCUGUUAAGUGUGGAGUGCUAAUAUGAAGUGACUCACCUGCCUUUUCUGUGUCCUCUCCAGGGUGUUUUUUCCCCAGGAAUCCAGACACCAUUUAUAGGUUCUGGGAGAGGCCAUUGAAAAGUGUGGAGGGGGGGGUCGUUUAUGGGUUUUUGUGGUGUUUCAUUAUGGUGUAAGAUAAAACAUAAAAUAGUUAUAAAAAGUAAAUGGAAAUGUUUGUAUUUAGUUUAAGGUAUUUUAUUGAAAUAGGUGGAGAUUGGUGAAUUGAGAUCCCCCUGUGAAUUGGAAGUGGUUUGGUUCGUCACAGCUGGGACUAUUUAAGCCUGCAGUUUCACCUGUGAAAUGUUUGUUGAUGCUGUGAGAAGAAUAAACCACUGCUGUUUCCACCUGACUCUGCCUCAACUAUUCUUCCUCACUGUAAAAUCCAGAUACAAAAGGCUGCCUUGU